UACGUAGGUGGCAAGCGUUGUCCGGAUUUAUUGGGUUUAAAGGGUGCGUAGGCGGCUUUGUAAGUCAGUGGUGAAAUAUGGCAGCUCAACUGUCAAGGUGCCAUUGAUACUGCGGAGCUUGAGUACAGAUGAGGUAGGCGGAAUUGACGGUGUAGCGGUGAAAUGCUUAGAUAUCGUCAAGAACACCUAUAGCGAAGGCAGCUUACUAGGCUGUAACUGACGCUGAGGCACGAAAGUGUGGGGAUCAAUCAGG
rnacentral:rRNA from 1 species